GAUGAACGCUGGCGGCGUGCCUAAUACAUGCAAGUCGAGCGAACAGAUAAGGAGCUUGCUCCUUUGACGUUAGCGGCGGACGGGUGAGUAACACGUGGGUAACCUACCUAUAAGACUGGAAUAACUCCGGGAAACCGGGGCUAAUGCCGGAUAACAUUUAGAACCGCAUGGUUCUAAAGUGAAAGAUGGUUUUGCUAUCACUUAUAGAUGGACCCGCGCCGUAUUAGCUAGUUGGUAAGGUAACGGCUUACCAAGGCAACGAUACGUAGCCGACCUGAGAGGGUGAUCGGCCACACUGGAACUGAGACACGGCCCAGACUCCUACGGGAGGCAGCAGUAGGGAAUCCUCCGCAAUGGGCGAAAGCCUGACGGAGCAACGCCGCGUGAGUGAUGAAGGUCUUCGGAUCGUAAAACUCUGUUAUUAGGGAAGAACAAAUGUGUAAGUAACUGUGCACGUCUUGACGGUACCUAAUCAGAAAGCCACGGCUAACUACGUG
rnacentral:rRNA from 1 species